GAUGAACGCUGGCGGCGUGCUUAACACAUGCAAGUCGAGCGAGAAGUUUUGAAAAGAUUCUUCGGAUGAAAUUUAAAAUGGAAAGCGGCGGACGGGUGAGUAACGCGUAGGCAACCUGCCCCAUACAAAGGGAUAGCAUUUGGAAACGAAUAUUAAUACCUUAUGAAACUUAACUAGUGCAUGCUAGGUAGGUCAAAGAUUUAUCGGUAUGGGAUGGGCCUGCGUCUGAUUAGCUAGUUGGUGAGGUAACGGCUCACCAAGGCGACGAUCAGUAGCCGACCUGAGAGGGUGACCGGCCACAUUGGAACUGAGACACGGUCAAAACUCUUCCGGGAGGAAGCAGUGGGGAAUAUUGCAAAAGGGGGGAAACCCUGAUGCAGCAACGCCGCGUGAACGAUGAAGGCCUUUGGGUCGUAAGUUCUGUUCUAGGUGAUGAAAACUGACAGUAACCUAGGAGAAAGCCCCGGCUAACUCCGUG
rnacentral:rRNA from 1 species